GUGAGGUUAGCUUAAUGGUAAAGCGCUGGACUGUGGCCCCAGUUAUGCGAGUUCGAUUCUCGUACUUCACACCA
rnacentral:tRNA from 1 species